CUUUUUUUGUUUCCUUCCAAAGCGACUAUAUGUUCUUCACUUUAAAGCGAAAUUCAAUAGUGCAAGAGACGAAUAUGUCUUCGUUUGCGACAACCAAGCACUCGGAAAUUUCCGAUUUGUAUUAUUCUAGCAAAAACUAUCGUGAGUUUUUGGAAUGCUCUUUUUUGCGACAGUUAGUGAGUCGAAAGGCUGAUCGCGUAGCGAAUACCUCUCUAUCUAAGAUUAGCCUCAACAAUGUUUUUCCGUCUCUCUAACAGAUCAUAAAUCCUCGAACGAAGAAAGGUUUCCUUCACCGUGGCGUCCCCAUCCCUGUCCCCCCUGAGGAUGUUUUGAAGGAGCGGGCCAUUACAGAAGAACAUCUUUACCUUGUACUGUUCUUUGACACAAGACGAACUUGGCAAUGGCUUCCUCGACACAAACUCGAACCGUUGGGACAGCACGAAGAACGAGACGAGAACAAGUUGCAGGAGGGUCGCAAAACAUCCAUGAGAAAAUCAGUGAUGAUGGCUUACGAACGCGCUAUUAUCCACAGGGACCAAGUAGAGAGGGGUGGAUCCCGAGACUCCGACGACGACGAAGACGACGAUGAUUACGACGACGACAAUGCCGACGACGAUGAUGACGUGGAUGGACGAGUGAACGAGAACGGCAACGAUGCAGAGGACGAUGAAGAAAGCGAUAAUGACGAUGAUGGUAAUGACGAGCAUGAUCCAUUGGAGGAAAAUGGAUUUGUUUAGAGAUGUUUUUAUCGCAAGAACUGUAGCCAAACCUUGCGUGAUGUUAGUUUAAUGGUUUCUUAGCUUCUCCAAUUUGAUUCAACUCCCAUCGGACCAAAAAAAUACACUAUCAAAAAUUCAAUGAAGUUGUGGAGCUACUAACAAACAGAAUUUGAUACUUUGUAAAUUUUGCAUGAAGCAAUUUCACAUUCUUGUCCAGAGUCCGCGAUCUUUUUGCUCAGGACCAAGAAUAGCGACCUUUGGCCGGAGCUAAUUUUUCGAACUUUGUUUUCUCAUGUUUUUUCUCUUUGGUGUAUCAGCCAGAUACAUUUCAAGAAUACUAGAUGAUGGCCAGAGGUCACGAGUGUUGGUGCCGACCAAAACGAUUGCGGUCUCUGGAGAAGGGAUCUUACGCUACGUUCAUUAACUAACGAUUUUAUGCCACACAAUGAAACUGUCCAUGAAUCUGGCGUACUUUCUGACAUUUUUACUCUUCAGUCCGAUGUAAAGUUAAUAAAAUUAGCACGAAGGCAAAAGGGUUUUUCGAAAUUAAAAAUGUUCGCAACCUCAAGCAGUUAGACAGUGGAAUAGUGUUUUUAAAAUGUUGCACAUUAAAUAUGAACUGUACAAUUGUAUUUAUAUCUAGAAGAAAGAAAUCGAUAUGUAAAUCCUGUGCUAUUUUUUUUUCCGAGACAUGUCUGUUUUUUCAACAAAUCGAGUGACGCCCGCGGAAAUAAUUCUGUGUUUUGUAUAUUUCUCUCUCCAUUCUUAUGUGUUGUUUGUCCUGUAAAUUGUUGCAGCCCAGGGUCAAUAAACUCGUCUAUUCUGACAUUGUUG